rnacentral:rRNA from 1 species
AUUGAACGCUGGCGGCAUGCCUUACACAUGCAAGUCGAACGGUAACGGGCCUUCGGGUGCCGACGAGUGGCGAACGGGUGAGUAAUGUAUCGGAACGUACCUUUCAGUGGGGGAUAACGUAGCGAAAGUUACGCUAAUACCGCAUAUUCUGUGAGCAGGAAAGCAGGGGAUCGCAAGACCUUGCGCUGAUUGAGCGGCCGAUAUCAGACUAGCUAGUUGGUGAGGUAAAGGCUCACCAAGGCGACGAUCUGUAGCGGGUCUGAGAGGAUGAUCCGCGACACUGGAACUGGGGCACGGUCCAGACUCCUAGGGGAGGCAGCAGUGGGGAAUUUUGGACAAUGGGGGCAACCCUGAUCCAGCCAUGCCGCGGGAGUGAAGAAGGCCUUCGGGUUGUAAAGCUCUUUCGGCCGGGAAGAAAUCGUAUGGGUUAAUACCCUGUGCGGAUGACGGUACCGGCAUAAGAAGCACCGGCUAACUACGUGCCAGCCGCCGCGGUAAAAC